GAUGAACGCUGGCGGCGUGCCUAAUACAUGCAAGUCGAGCGAACAGACGAGGAGCUUGCUCCUCUGACGUUAGCGGCGGACGGGUGAGUAACACGUGGAUAACCUACCUAUAAGACUGGGAUAACUUCGGGAAACCGGAGCUAAUACCGGAUAAUAUAUUGAACCGCAUGGUUCAAUAGUGAAAGACGGUUUUGCUGUCACUUAUAGAUGGAUCCGCGCCGCAUUAGCUAGUUGGUAAGGUAACGGCUUACCAAGGCGACGAUGCGUAGCCGACCUGAGAGGGUGAUCGGCCACACUGGAACUGAGACACGGUCCAGACUCCUACGGGAGGCAGCAGUAGGGAAUCUUCCGCAAUGGGCGAAAGCCUGACGGAGCAACGCCGCGUGAGUGAUGAAGGUCUUCGGAUCGUAAAACUCUGUUAUUAGGGAAGAACAAAUGUGUAAGUAACUAUGCACGUCUUGACGGUACCUAAUCAGAAAGCCACGUCUAACUACGUG
rnacentral:rRNA from 1 species